rnacentral:rRNA from 1 species
UCGGGAAUCUUGCACAAUGGGCGAAAGCCUGAUGCAGCAACACCGUGUGAGCGAUGAAGGCCCUAGGGUCGUAAAGCUCUGUUGUUGGGGACGAAGGCCGAAAGGUUAAUAGCCUCUAGGCUGACGGUACCCUUCGAGGAAGCUCCGGCUAACUACGUGCCAGCAGCCGCGGUAAUACGUAGGGAGCGAGCGUUGUCCGGAAUUAUUGGGCGUAAAGAGCGUGUAGGCGGUCUGGUAAGUCUGCCGUGAAAACCUGGGGCUCAACCCUGGGCGUGCGGUGGAUACUGCCAGGCUAGAGGAUGGUAGAGGCCAGUGGAAUUCCCGGUGUAGCGGUGAAAUGCGCAGAUAUCGGGAGGAACACCAGUAGCGAAGGCGGCUGGCUGGGCCAUACCUGACGCUGAGACGCGAAAGCGUGGGGAGCGAACAGGAUUAGAUACCCCCGUAGUCC